rnacentral:rRNA from 1 species
GGACCCGCACAAGCAGUGGAGUAUGUGGUUUAAUUCGAUGCAACGCGAAGAACCUUACCAGGGUUUGACAUCCUGCGAAUCUCUUGGAAACGAGAGAGUGCCUUCGGGAACGCAGUGACAGGUGGUGCAUGGCUGUCGUCAGCUCGUGUCGUGAGAUGUUGGGUUAAGUCCCGCAACGAGCGCAACCCACGUCUUUAGUUGCCAGCAUUCAGUUGGGCACUCUAGAGAGACCGCCGGUGACAAACCGGAGGAAGGUGUGGAUGACGUCAAGUCAUCAUGCCCCUUACGUCCUGGGCUACACACGUACUACAAUGCUACGGACAAAGAGCAGCUAACUCGCGAGAGUACGCAAAUCUCAUAAACCGUGGCUCAGUUCAGAUCGUAGGCUGCAACUCGCCUACGUGAAGGCGGAAUCGCUAGUAAUCGC